rnacentral:pre_miRNA from 1 species
AGUGGGAUAGCUGGGUCAAAUGGUGGUUCCAUUCCAAGUUUUCUGAGGACUCACUAUACUACUUUCCAGAGUGGUUGCACCAAUUUGCAGGCCCACCAGCAAU